rnacentral:lncRNA from 1 species
UCCAACCGAUACUUUGAGUUUUCCACCAAAAUUGCAAAGUUAGUUUCCUACUAUUGUUGAUGCACCGCAACAUGACUCAGAAUUCAUUCCAAGACAAAAGCAUCUAAAUACUUCCACCCCUUUUUCUCUAGCUCCUCAGUAUAAGCCUGCUACAUUCACAAUACCACAUGUCGUCUGUGAUUUUAUUUCUCAAUCCUCUACUUAGGCUUCUACAUUGGUUAGCCACCCAACGGUUGUACU